ACUGUGUCUGACCUGACUGAGUACAUCACUAUACUUAAGACAGGAAGUCAAGAUAAUACAGAGACAAUCGUUUUCACAAAAGGAAGUGACUCAGCAUCAUUAAUGUUGCAGAUGUAAGUGCUGGAGCUGCGAUAGUGGGUGUGAGAUAAACAAUCCAGGAAAGAUACAGUAUGGACAUUGCAAAUUAGACUUCAUUCAACAGCGGUCAGGGAGUAAAGAAAAGAGGGACAAGUCUGAAGGACGGUAUUCAUGCGCAUAAGGAUUAGAGACUACUUGAAAAAAGCUGAGGAGAAGCACAAAUCAUCCUGAGUGAAAUGCAAAAGAAAUGACAAUGCAGUACACAGCAUUGCAUAAACUUCUCUGGCUUUUAAAUGCAUUAAUUCUUACAACACAAGAGUUGGUGAAACUAAGGGUGAGUCCCAGGAUUAUUGCAGAAUGCGGCAAACAGGUUACCCUAAACUGCAACGUGUCCUCAUCUCGAAAUGGCCUAUCGAUCAAACACAUGGAGUGGUUCCAAAACCAUACCUCUUUCUGUUCAGUGGACAGUGAAGGAAAAAUCACAAACCACAGACACACUCAAAGUGACUUCCAUUGUGAGUACAGACAUGGACAACUGUCACUCAUCUUUAGAAGAGUGCAGCCACUGGAGAGCAGAAACUCAAAACCCUACGUCUGCAAACUACAGUCCAACAAUGGAGCUUCACAUGCAAAGACAAGUGUGGAGUUACAAGAGUGUUGUUGGCUCGUUGAGGGUGUUUGGACUAAUGACCGUCCCACCUGCACCUUUAAAAAUGUCUACCCAGAUGGAGACGUGCACUGGUUCCACGGCUCCCGCAAUCUCUCAGAUGAGUCAGUGAAGCACCACACUACUAAACAUGUGGACGAAGGGGGUUGGCUGACUAUCCAUAGUUACCUGGAGCAGAAUCUUUCAGGUGGACCCUACAACUGUUCCUUGAAGAGCACCACAUCUGGUAUGGCUCAAAGCUGGAGGACAAACGCAGCUCCAAGGCUAAAACGCUGCCUUUUUAACGCCUCAUUGCAGCCACUUCAGCCACUUCAUUGUCAGAAUGACUCUCUGCUAAUGGUGAUACUAAAUCGGUGCCACGCAGGAGCAGGUUGAACUUUUAGCAAGACGCUGCUGCGGCUGAGAGCCCACUGCGUGAAUAACUACAAGGUCACCUUGACUAUUCCAGUGCACAUGGAUACACAUAUUUAUACACACACACACACACACACACACACGUAGAUAUUUGUGGAAUAAUAAUCUCUCAAAUGCAUGGUUGUGACUAAUAUUGACACUGAACAUUUUCUUUGUGAAAUAUUAUUUAAAAAUCAAAACAAUCUACAUAGAUAUUUACAAAAAAUUAAUAAUGUGAUGACUGAAUUAUUCAAAAUGUCUUUUUUAAAUAACUCUUUAAUUCAAACUUUAUAUUGUGAUUUGUUUCAACAUUAUUUAGCUGACAUUAACAAUUACAAAAUAAUAAACUCGUACGUAAGCUUUCAAAUGAAAAUAAAGAGCAUUCAAAAAUAAAAUCAUUUGUGGUUGUUUGCUUUUUGACAAUAGCAGACUGUAGGUAUUUUUUUUAGUUUCAUGUCACGAUGUAAUGAAGGCUUCUCCUUGAUUUACUGUGGCUUACAUUGUACCUCAUUUCUAUGUCGCUUGGGACAAACGCAGCUGCCAAAGGCCUCUCC
ensembl:lncRNA